UGAUGUUUCACUUAGUCUGUGAUCCUUCAAGAGUGGUGGUUGAGACUACAUUAAAAGAACUUGUUCGUGCAGUAAUACACUGGGGAGGCAAACUAGACCAUGUUCUGCGAGUCCUACUCCCUCAGAUGUUGGGCUUUGCUCAGCGCUGUCCACCUCUUUCAGGGGUUGAAGGUUCUGUAGAUUCUCAUCUUCGCGUUCUUGGCGAACGG
rnacentral:misc_RNA from 1 species